CAGGCUUAACACAUGCAAGUCGAGGGGCAGCAUUUUAGUUUGCUUGCAAACUGAAGAUGGCGACCGGCGCACGGGUGAGUAACACGUAUCCAACCUGCCGAUAACUCCGGAAUAGCCUUUCGAAAGAAAGAUUAAUACCGGAUAGCAUACGAAUAUCGCAUGAUAUUUUUAUUAAAGAAUUUCGGUUAUCGAUGGGGAUGCGUUCCAUUAGUUUGUUGGCGGGGUAACGGCCCACCAAGACAACGAUGGAUAGGGGUUCUGAGAGGAAGGUCCCCCACAUUGGAACUGAGACACGGUCCAAACUCCUACGGGAGGCAGCAGUGAGGAAUAUUGGUCAAUGGGCGAGAGCCUGAACCAGCCAAGUAGCGUGAAGGAUGAAGGCUCUAUGGGUCGUAAACUUCUUUUAUAUGGGAAUAAAGUUUUCCACGUGUGGAAUUUUGUAUGUACCAUAUGAAUAAGGAUCGGCUAACUCCGUGCCAGCAGCCGCGGUAAUACGGAGGAUCCGAGCGUUAUCCGGAUUUAUUGGGUUUAAAGGGAGCGUAGGUGGAUUGUUAAGUCAGUUGUGAAAGUUUGCGGCUCAACCGUAAAAUUGCAGUCGAAACUGGCAGUCUUGAGUACAGUAGAGGUGGGCGGAAUUCGUGGUGUAGCGGUGAAAUGCCUAGAUAUCACGAAGAACUCCGAUUGCGAAGGCAGCUCACUAGACUGUCACUGACACUGAUGCUCGAAAGUGUGGGUAUCAAACAGGAUUAGAUACCCUGGUAGUCCACACAGUAAACGAUGAAUACUCGCUGUUUGCGAUAUACAGUAAGCGGCCAAGCGAAAGCAUUAAGUAUUCCACCUGGGGAGUACGCCGGCAACGGUGAAACUCAAAGGAAUUGACGGGGGCCCGCACAAGCGGAGGAACAUGUGGUUUAAUUCGAUGAUACGCGAGGAACCUUACCCGGGCUUAAAUUGCAACAGAAUAUAUUGGAAACAGUAUAGCCGUAAGGCUGUUGUGAAGGUGCUGCAUGGUUGUCGUCAGCUCGUGCCGUGAGGUGUCGGCUUAAGUGCCAUAACGAGCGCAACCCUUAUCUUUAGUUACUAACAGGUUAUGCUGAGGACUCUAGAGAGACUGCCGUCGUAAGAUGUGAGGAAGGUGGGGAUGACGUCAAAUCAGCACGGCCCUUACGUCCGGGGCUACACACGUGUUACAAUGGGGGGUACAGAAGGCGGCUACCUGGUGACAGGAUGCUAAUCCCAAAAACCUCUCUCAGUUCGGAUCGAAGUCUGCAACCCGACUUCGUGAAGCUGGAUUCGCUAGUAAUCGCGCAUCAGCCAUGGCGCGGUGAAUACGUUCCCGGGCCUUGUACACACCGCCCGUCAAGCCAUGAAAGCCGGGGGUACCUGAAGUACGUAACCGCAAGGAGCGUCCUAGGGUAAAACUGGUAAUUGGGGCUAAGUCAUAACA
rnacentral:rRNA from 1 species